GAUGAACGCUGGCGGCGUGCCUAAUACAUGCAAGUCGAGCGAACAGACGAGGAGCUUGCUCCUCUGACGUUAGCGGCGGACGGGUGAGUAACACGUGGAUAACCUACCUAUAAGACUGGGAUAACUUCGGGAAACCGGAGCUAAUACCGGAUAAUAUAUUGAACCGCAUGGUUCAAUAGUGAAAGACGGUUUUGCUGUCACUUAUAGAUGGAUCCGCGCCGCAUUAGCUAGUUGGUAAGGUAACGGCUUACCAAGGCGACGAUGCGUAGCCGACCUGAGAGGGUGAUCGGCCACACUGGAACUGAGGCACGGUCCAGACUCCUACGGGAGGCAGCAGUAGGGAAUCUUCCGCAAUGGGCGAAAGCCUGACGGAGCAACGCCGCGUGAGUGAUGAAGGUCUUCGGAUCGUAAAACUCUGUUAUUAGGGAAGAACAAAUGUGUAAGUAACUAUGCACGUCUUGACGGUACCUAAUCAGAAAGCCACGGCUAACUACGU
rnacentral:rRNA from 1 species